CGGCGUGCUUAACACAUGCAAGUCGAACGGUACUUACUAAGUAGUAAUACGAAGUUUGUAUAGUGGCGGACGGGUGAGUAACGCGUGAGUGACCUGCCUACAAGAGGGGGAUAACACCGGGAAACCGGUGCUAAUACCGCAUAAGACCACGACCUCGCAUGGGGAUGUGGUAAAAGGAGUAAUCCGCUUGUAGAUGGACUCGCGUCCCAUUAGCUAGUUGGUGAGGUAACAGCUCACCAAGGCGACGAUGGGUAGCCGACCUGAGAGGGUGAUCGGCCACACUGGAACUGAGACACGGUCCAGACUCCUACGGGAGGCAGCAGUGGGGAAUAUUGGGCAAUGGGCGAAAGCCUGACCCAGCAACGCCGCGUGAGGGAAGAAGGUCUUCGGAUUGUAAACCUCUGUCCUUGGGGACGAAAAAAUGACGGUACCCAAGGAGGAAGCCCCGGCUAACUACGUGCCAGCCGCCGC
rnacentral:rRNA from 1 species